AUCGCGGCUGACAGAACCGAAAGGGGUCAGGUGAGGAAAGUCCGGGCUUCACAGGGCAGGAUGCCAGAUAACGUCUGGUGGAGGUGACUCCAAGGACAGUGCAACAGAAAUGUACCGCCGGAAUUUUCCGGUAAGGGUGGAAGGGCAGUGUAAGAGACUACCGCCUUUCUGGUAACAGAGAGGGCACAUGUAAACCCCAUCCGAAGCAAGACCGAAUAGAAAACCAUAUGGCUGCCCGUCAUGUUUUCAGGUAGGUCGCUUGAGCCUGCUGGCGACAGCAGGACUGGAUAGAUGAUUAUUCACGACAUAACCCGGCUUAUCGUUUUGCUUGU
rnacentral:RNase_P_RNA from 1 species